GGCAAUUUGUGUCAGCAAAGUACCAACUGGUGGCUCUUUGGGCCCUGCCAUGGGGUGGCUGUGUGACCUUGGGAAAAUCUGGAAUGCGCUUAAGCCCCGGAAGCUGAUUUCUUCACCUGCAAGGGAAGCGAAUAACGCAAAUUCUAGUGGAUCCUUGCGAAGAGCGAGUCGCCUACGUGAGGGGGUGUCCAGCACGUGGGAGAUUCUCAGGUCACGUCACCCCAGUCAAAAGAACCAAAACUGUGUGUUCAGCAGGCACGAAGAAACCAGUGUGACCACAGCAUACAGGGAGAAGACUAUGGAAACAUGUUGGGAUCAUCUUCUGAAGACCAUUGAGACCAGGCUGAAGAGUAUGUGUUCAAUAAGGACAGCCCUUGGAGUCUUUAUGGCAAUGAAAUGUCUCAAGCCACCAUGUAGGGAGACUGAUCCGGCAGCAAUGAGAAACAUGGGUCAACUAGUUGUUUUGAAGAUGCUACAAGGGACAGCUUAUUUCAUGAUACUGGGAAUCAACAGUGAACGGAAAUACUCAAAGAGGAGGUCCGAGCCGAGCAUAUAACAGAGCACAUCUCGCAGGGAGAAAAUCAAACAGCUAAUGCGAGUAUUUUGUUGUUUGUUGUUUCUGCUUUCUAUCACCACCCGGGAGAAUGAUCUUUUCCAAACAUGUGUCUGAUCUUGCCAUUUCUCACUUAAUACAUUUCAGGAACUCCACACCACCCACGGGAGGGAACUCAGACACCUGGCCCAGGCCAUCAGGGCAUAGGGCCCAGCUCAUAAUUCUGGGAUUCCCUCAUCUACAUACCCACACUAACCACAUUACUCUUAAUUACCAAAGUAUAUCCUAGUGUUUUCGCUUGGAUUCACUCUUACUGUUCUCUCUCCUAGAAAUAUCUCUUCCACUUACCAUCAGAAUUUGUCACUCCCUUUAUUUAUUUUCAUUAUGCACUUUGUUUACAGGUCGGUUAUUACCUCAAAUUGCAAAAGGUUCUUUAUGUAGUAACUAUAUCUACUUUAUUGUGGAGAUUAUGUCUUAUUUAUCUUUAUCUCUGGAUCCUAUCACAGUGUCUAGUUAGCUGAGAGGUGUUCUGGGAAUAUAUACAGGAAGAAAAAAAUGGAUGGGUGAAUGGAUGGAUGGAUGGAAUGAUGGAUGGAUUGAUGGAUGGACGGGUGGAUGAAUAAAUGGAUGGAGGGAUAGAUGAGUUGAAAAUAA
rnacentral:lncRNA from 1 species